GCUGGGAAUGAUGACAGAAAAGGCCGAAUUGCAGUUCUCUCUUUAGAGCAGGACAAUGACAAAUCCCCUUGAAGCGAAAACUGAACUGACCUAUGC